CCAGUUCCUCUUUCUCUCUCUAAGUUCAGCUUCAUUUUCUUCUUCUUGCUCUGACUUCUCUCUACUUUUCCACCACUUCCCACCAUUGAAAUUUCAAAUAGGUAGUGUCCUUUAGUUCACAGAGUUGAGAGCUUUCCCUUCAUCCGAUUAGAUUUUCGUUUUGGACGGAAAGUAUAUGAUUAAAGUGACAGUACGGUUCAUGAACGUAAUUCCAUGAUCCUCAAGGAGGGGAUACAUGGUAGUGUCCUGGUAGUGUGUAGAAUGAUUGCAUGGUAGCUCAGUCUUGGGGGUUUUCCUGACGCUCCAAUGGUCUUUCAUUCUCAAGUAGAGAGGAUUGAUCCAUGUGGUGAGAGGAGUAGCAGGAGGUCCUAGUCUUGGAGGCUUCCAGUAUGUUUCAGGGCGCGGAACAGACUAACCUCGUGAGUGUGGUAGGGUGGAACCCAUUGUCAACGGCUUUGCAAAGCAGUAGAGGCCACCACGAGUGCAUAACCCGCCAUAGCUCGAUGAAGAGGAGGUGUCUGUGAAGCAAGCGCUGGAAGAAGGUGAUGUUGCAGCUUAGUAUGUCUAGGAUCUUGAUUAGUAGUAUUAUUCUGAUGAUAAUUCACAAUGGUCCUUUAUGUUUAAGAGACCAACUCUGAUUUUAUUUUGGAUGACUGUAACCAAUAUAGUCUGUUAUAUGUCUCUAACUGCUUUCCAAUAUUAUAACCGA